UACGGGAGGCAGCAGUGGGGAAUAUUGCACAAUGGGCGCAAGCCUGAUGCAGCGACGCCGCGUGAGGGAUGACGGCCUUCGGGUUGUAAACCUCUUUCAGUAGGGAAGAAGCGAAAGUGACGGUACCUGCAGAAGAAGCACCGGCUAACUACGUGCCAGCAGCCGCGGUAAUACGUAGGGUGCGAGCGUUAUCCGGAAUUAUUGGGCGUAAAGAGCUCGUAGGCGGUUUGUCGCGUCUGUCGUGAAAGUCCGGGGCUUAACCCCGGAUCUGCGGUGGGUACGGGCAGACUAGAGUGCAGUAGGGGAGACUGGAAUUCCUGGUGUAGCGGUGGAAUGCGCAGAUAUCAGGAGGAACACCGAUGGCGAAGGCAGGUCUCUGGGCUGUAACUGACGCUGAGGAGCGAAAGCAUGGGGAGCGAACAGGAUUAGAUACCCUGGUAGUCCA
rnacentral:rRNA from 1 species